rnacentral:rRNA from 1 species
UAGGGAGUCUUCGGCAAUGGACGAAAGUCUGACCGAGCAACGCCGCGUGAGUGAAGAAGGUUUUCGGAUCGUAAAACUCUGUUGUUAGAGAAGAACAAGGACGUUAGUAACUGAACGUCCCCUGACGGUAUCUAACCAGAAAGCCACGGCUAACUACGUGCCAGCAGCCGCGGUAAUACGUAGGUGGCAAGCGUUGUCCGGAUUUAUUGGGCGUAAAGCGAGCGCAGGCGGUUUCUUAAGUCUGAUGUGAAAGCCCCCGGCUCAACCGGGGAGGGUCAUUGGAAACUGGGAGACUUGAGUGCAGAAGAGGAGAGUGGAAUUCCAUGUGUAGCGGUGAAAUGCGUAGAUAUAUGGAGGAACACCAGUGGCGAAGGCGGCUCUCUGGUCUGUAACUGACGCUGAGGCUCGAAAGCGUGGGGAGCAAACAGG